UCCUUCCCGCCCUCUCCCAGUAACGGUCGGCGUGCCCGUUGCCGUUGCUACGGUUACGGCGGGGAGGGCGCCAUGGCCGCCGCCGCCGCCGCCGCCGCCUCGGCCGGGCCCACGGCAGACGCGGGUGGCGAUACCGGCUCCCAUUUCCUCGCUUGCUGGAAAGCUCUGUUCCUUCAGGGGUGAAGGAAGAGGUGGUGAGCAGCUGGACUGCAAGUAAGGUGCUUUAUAAAGGGUUGCGUUGCUCUAUAAUGGCUCUUGAUGUCUUUGACAGCCUUGUAUCAGGAACCCGGUGCACUAAACCCCUUCUAAGGAGAUGGAGUAGCUCAGUGUAAUUGUCUUGAACAUCCAGUUUCCUCUGGAGAAUUCUGUCUGCUUCUGUUAAAUCCUGGAGGCACUGAGUGAUUGGAUGGGGGCUCUGGAAAAUGUUAUCCAUUAACAAACUAGAGUCCAUUCUCUGAACCCCCUUUCCUUUCCCUCCCCACCCCCUGGGCAAAAUUAAGGUGGAAGGGAAUGUGUCCAAAGACAGGCUUUUCCCUCCAUUGCUAUAGUUACUUGGCAAUGAGACCCCUUCAAUGUAAUAUUGAAUAUUCUAUUUAUUAUUGUGUGACUCCAAGGUGACAUUUAGAACAUGCUGUCUUAAAAAAACUUUUUUUUGCAUUUCACGGCCCAGCAUGUGGUGUCCCAGGGUUCCUUCCCUCCCUGCUUCCCUCACGUUCUUGCUUCUCACUUCUUUCCUGUCUUUUUGUCAGUGUAAUAAUUAUAUGGGAAAAAAAGAAAAGGCUGAUGGCUGAAAGAAGCCAGACAGUUUCAAAAAUCCUUGAGUUUAUGUAACAGAAGUUAAAUUCUCAUAGGGUCAGAACCUGUAUCAGCAACUUGCUUAAUUAUGUACCUAACCUUAAUUAUAUGUUAAUAAGGCUACUCACAGACUAAAAGUUAGGCAUUUGCUUAAACACCUUGUUGAUUAGCAGUUCAACAGAUGCUCAUCAAAAAAGUGAACAGGUAGAGCUGGAAAUCUAAGAUGGAAAGGCACUGCUGCUGUUUCUGGGUUUCCUGUGGAAGAAAGUGGGACUGCAGUUUCCCGGGUGCCUUGUGGAAGGAGCCGUGCAGAGGGUUUGCAGAAGGCAGAGUCCAUAUAUGCACUCAGAAAUGCUCUCCACUGCUGCAAAACACUUGCUUUUGCAGCACCCUCCAGCCCUUGGGAUGACCCCUGUAACAGACCCUCGUUUUACAGAUGCACCAUGCCUGACACUGAGCCCUUUGAGCACACUCUUUUCUCUUCAUGUGGAUGAUCCCAUGUCAUGAUAUGUGCGGAAAUGCCUGUAAGCCGACUAGAUCCAAUGGAGCUGAGCGCCUGGAACUGUUCUGGAAGUGGUGGUGCAGGUCCCCAACCUCGCCUAGGCUCGCUGGAGCCUGAGAAGGCCAACACCUUAAUGAGCCUCCCGCCGAGCGCCCCAGGGCACCGAUCACAGGAUGUUUUUGUUUUCCUGUCUUGGCAACCUGCACCAGUACGGACUAAUCUAUAUACCACUGUAUUGUAGUGAAUCCUCUUAACUCUGGAAAAUAUAGAGAACAAGCAGCUUAACUCUUAGAAAUAAGUCUCAUCCCUAGAUUUAAAAAUGCUGCAUGAAAUACGGCUGCAUACAGGAAAACUCAGGUCUCUGGGCUUUGAACCUGCUGCUCAGCUGCAGACUUGCGAGGUAACUUGGCUUUGUGACUGGCUUCAGCAAUUUUAGCGUUAGGAUCUUCUUUUGCCUCGAAAGCUGUGCAGUUUUUCCAGCACUGCAAAAUGGAUGGAAGUUGUUACUGGUCUUAUCGAAAGGCCAUUUGUGCUCGUUGGCGUAGUAACUAUUCCAAACGCAGGGCUGCACAGAGGAUGGGCCCCUUCUCGAGCCGCUCUCCAGGCUCAAAGCUGCUGUUGCAAAUCAUGUUUCUCAGUCUUCUCUCAUUUCCUAUCCUGCCUUAUGGUUGCUAUGUAGAUGGCCUCUUCAGCUGCCUUUGUAAUGCAUCUUUUGUGGUUAUACUGAAAAAUGUAUUUUUAUGGCUAAAGUUCACCUCUGUGUUUUCUUCCUUUUCUUGCCUCCUUCAGUUUUCACUUGCAUUGAAUCAGAAUCAGACUUUUCCUCAAGCAGAGAUUUUUCAGUACCGCUGUUUCUUCCACCUGUCUUGUGGCUUUCACAGUUGUUUGGCUAUUAAAAUAGGACUGGAUAAACUUAUUUCAGUUUCUGUUGUUAGAGCAAACAAACAUAAAAACCUGAGCAAAGCAGCCCUAACCCUCAAGUAAUCUCAACUGAAUUUACUUAUGUGAAGAAAAAGCCUGCCCUAAGCAGAGGAAAUAGUGCUGCUGCUGUCCUUAUUACCAAUCAAGUGCCUUUCACCUGUGCUUCUUAAAAUCAAUGUACCAAAUGUGUUGCUGUUACUGCUAAAGUGAUUAUUUUCCUUAAGUAGAUUAAAUAAAAAAGAAUACAGCAUCAUAUACAAGGGUCAUCCUACUUAGCCCUGAACUAACACCACCUCUGGAGAGGAAGAUAACUAAUAAUGCAGUUAAUAACACUGUCUUGCAACACUUGUGGAUUUAUUGGACGUUUGCCACAUAUAGACCUGAACUGGCUUUAUUUAGCUGUCAACCCCUCCAGGAAUCCCAAGAGAAGGUGCCUCUGAGGGAGCGUAAGGACUGAAGGACCUGGGGAUUGCACAAGAGAAGCCACUUCAGAUUACUGCACACUUUAAACUGGCCUCAAAGAGGCUGGGCUGGCUGGUGUUGAAGAAUUGGAUUCAAAGCAUCUAGAGCAGGAAAUGCCUUUUGAGGUCAUGUGGCCUAUCUGCUAGACACGGAAUUGCACACGCUGUCAGAGUUUCACACCCUCUCUGGGAGGAUUACAUCAGAGCAGGAAGCCGUGUGUGAGCCCCCUGUCAGCGUUUCCAGCUUCCACAGCAGAAGUAAAUGGAACAACAAAAGGGGUUUUGGCUCCCAAGGGCCAAGUCUGCACUGCGGAAGCCAAACGGCACCAGGAGAGGGUUCUCAGGAUCCUGCUGCUCCAGCUCUGGUGAAACCCAGGCCAAAUAAUUGUUCCAGAAAAGCUAGAGGAAGAUGUUGCCACAUAAUAAAUCAGAUCUUCUCCUGGG